UCCAAUGUGGUGUAGUGGCCAACAUUGCUGUCUUUCAUAGAGCAGCCGCCAAAAUGAAUAUAAUUUGCACAGCAGCCCGGGGUUCGAUUCCCCGCAUUGGAA